CAUGAUGGACUAUAGGACAGGACUGCUGCUUUUAACUCUCUGCUGGGCAGGUGUUGAUGGUCAGACUCUGACAGAAUCUGAACCAGUGGUUAAAAGGCCUGGAGAAUCUCACAGAUUGACCUGUACAGGCUCUGGAUUCACAUUCAGCAGCUACUAUAUGAACUGGGUCAGACAGGCUCCUGGAAAAGGACUGGAGCGGUGUCCAGAGGAGGAGGAGGAGGAAAGGAGCUUUGGAUGUCUGCUGGCUCCCCGUCAUCUAAACUGUGUGUCUCUUUCAGCUGCUCAGGGCCAGUCCCUCACCUCCUCAGAGCCAGUGGUCAGCAGAGCUGGAGAACCAGUCACUCUGUCCUGUAAAGUGGAAGGACUUGCUCUGGCUUGGCUGCACUGGAUUCGUCAGAAACCAGGGAAAGGACUGGAAUGGAUCGGACACAUUGAUGGCGGAACUGGCACAAUAUUUGCCCAAAGUCUCCAAGGCCAGUUUUCCAUCAGCAAAGACAUGUCCAAAAAUCUUGUGUAUUUAGAGGUGAAGAGUCUAAAACCAGAAGACUCUGCAGUUUAUUAUUGUGCACGAGAGCCACAGUGACACACCAGACUACAAAGCUGUACAAAAACUGAACAACACACAUCUCUGUAUGAGAAGCACUGAAGCAUGUCAGGACUUUGAAAACACAUUUCCCAUUGAAUGAUGGCCAAUUAACUAUGAAACACACUUUAACAAUUUUUUUUUAUUUGUCAGUGUGUUGGGACAGUUUAUCAUGACUCACAGCAACGCCUGCAUUUAUAUGAAGACAACCUUACUGUGAUUACAACAUUAAUUCAACUACAGUGAAAACUUUGCUUUAAAAAGCUCUGUAUCAUACAGU